CUUUAUUUUUAGAAUGUCUUCAAGCCCCUAUUUAUUUUCCAAUUCUUUUCCAUUUAAUUAUCGUAUCUGUUCCUUCGAUCAAUUUUAAUACAGCAUAUUUUGCUUUAUUUAAUUUCCUUUGUAUUUACGAAACACACCAACUACGUCUUACAAAACUUUUUCAGAACCCAUCGUAACGAUUCGUGGAACCAGCUUGCGAACAAAUUUUUCCCACAGAGUAAAGAAAAAUUUCUCGGAAUCGAGUUAUAAAUAAUCCACUCGUAACAACAAUUCGUUCCAUCUUCCCACGGUAUGUCCAAAUACGAUAUGUUUAUAAUAUUCUUACUCGAGUGCGUGUAACCACGAGCCGUAUUUACCUUUCGACUUCCGCAAUUUCGGUUUCCAGGAAUUUUCGACUCCCGAAACGAUAACAUUGUGCAAAAACAAUUUCUAACUUUCGAUAAUAAUACUGUUAUCGAGGAGAUGGUUUCAGUUGUACACUGGCUUCGAACGUGGAAAGAUCGCGCGAAAGUGAAGCGUGUCUUCGAAAAUAUUACCAAGACGACCAUUGAACGAUGGACGACCGGAACCAUCCAUCAGAGGGCCGAGAUAGACCGAGCAUCAAGGAUGCUGGAUGCGGUGGAGCGAAGAUAGCGGGGGAACGAGAAUAUCAUGGUCCCAUGGGUUGGAGAAGGAGGAUUUUCUGGAUUUUUUACGGAAUCGAAAUAAAAAAGAAAAACGUUUAAACGAGCGACAUUUCGCUUUAUCCUUUAUCAACCAAUAACCGGUUGGCGGUAAAUGGAUGGCCUACUUAUUUCCUUGCAGUUUUCUCGUUAUAUUAAAGUUCGAGACGGAUUUAAUUAUGCACACGACAAGACUCCUGCUACCAAGAUCUCUGCUUAUUAGCGUUUUGCCUUCGUUAGCCUUCGAUAAACAAUCGACGUCGCUUACCAUUGUUUCAAAGCAGCGAGAGUUUUGAUUUCGCUGUAAACAUUCUCCGCGGGGGGAGGAGAGAUCAGUUUCGAAUUAACGAGGGAUGGAUUCCGGUUUAUCAUCGGGACAUUUCGAGCGAGAGACGAGAUUUUACGCGAUUAGAAUCGUUGCAAAGGGGAAAUAAUAAAAAGAUAUUGAAGUUAUUAAUCGUUAAAGUAAUCAUUAGCAGAUGGCCAAUUUCUUAUGAUCAGAAUUAUUAUUAUUAUUAUUAUUAUUAUUGAUGUUUGAAAAAAGGAAUAUUGGAAAACUCUUUUCAAAUCAUUCGAGAGGAAUCGCAUCAAAGAAGAAGAAGAAAUUAAAUAGAGAAAGAAGGAGAAUCCUUUUCAUCUUUCAUAUUUUUUUCAAAAGAAAUUUAUGACGCGUCAACCGCUAUAGAAUAGAAUAGAAAAUUCCGAAACCGUGACGCGUCAUGGCCACCCUCUCACCCUUCAGGCUAUCAAAGGCUUGGAGUAAAGGAAAAUUAAAAAAAAAGAAGAAGAAAAAUAAAACUCCAUAAGAAGAAAAGAAAAAGGAAACCGACUUAAGGAAACGAAUACAAGGCAAAAAAAAAGGAGUCCGGCGCAGAACGUGAGAGAAGGAAAAACUUCACCGCCUUCGCUGAACAGAUUUUCCUACGGAGAAGGGAGGGAGGGGAAGGGAACGAUCCGUCGUCGUCGUCGUCGUCCAAUUUGCCGUACGAAGCCAAUAGCCGUCGUCGUGUACGAGGCAUCGAAAAAAAAAAAAAAAAAGAAAAAGAAAGAAAAAAAAAGAAGGGACGACCCCUGCCACGACAGAGUCGCGCCGUUAUCCGAUAUUUGUGACCGAAAAUGGAGGCAGGUAUCGUAUAAAAUGACAAUAAGGGCGUGCCAUUCCUGUACUAUCGUGCCGGACAUCAAUAACAUUCGUUACCCGCGUUACACCCUGUAUAUACGGGGAAUACGUAUAUACACAGGAUUACUAUAUUUCUCUCCUAUCUCCUGUCCCUCUUCGCUCCACGCAUCUCUCUCUCUCUCCGCUUCCCGCCACGGUUCGUUCAGUUUGUCGCCCGUAGAGGCGCGCAUCGACAACGACGCGUGUGGACCUCUAUACGGAUCGUGAGAUCGCGCUCCUCGUUUCGUGUGUGUGUGUGGUAAGCUCGAUGAGUGCACACACACACACACUUGGCUCGAUUUCCCGCGUGUGUGUGAGUGUUGUAUUUUUUUUUCUUUUUUUUUUUUUGCGUGGUCGUGCGGUACAACAGUCAGUGUAAAGAAUAGCCAGUCGGCCGGGAACGUAUACGGCCACUUUACGUAACUUAUGUCGCCUUUGUUAGAGGAUAUCUCGGUUGCGCAUCGUUCCUACGCUUCCGUUGUUCCGGGCUAGUAGACGUCGGCCUUGCCGUUGAUGCCCUUGCCAUUCACCUGCCUCCACUUGUCGC